rnacentral:rRNA from 1 species
GACGGAGGGUGCAAGCGUUGUUCGGAAUUACUGGGCGUAAAGCGCUCGCAGGCGGAUUGAUAAGUCGGGGGUGAAAUCCCGGGGCUCAACCUCGGAAUUGCCUUCGAUACUGUCUAUCUAGAGUCCGGGAGAGGUGAGUGGAAUUCCUAGUGUAGAGGUGAAAUUCGUAGAUAUUAGGAAGAACACCAGUGGCGAAGGCGGCUCACUGGCCCGGAACUGACGCUCAUGAGCGAAAGCGUGGGGAGCAAACAGG